AGCAGAUCGGAACAGACGCAAGAGAGGACAGUCUGUACAGAGCAACUCCAAGUCUCAACUUCUUAGUCUCCAUAUUCGUAAUCGCAACAGAAGAACUCCAAAUUCAGGUAUAUUUUAAUUUUAAUUUUAGUUUUUUAAUUUCAUAAAUUUAACAAUUGCUUUAGAAAAUUUGUAAUUGUUUAUAGAUUCGUUUUUUAUACUUUUAUAAAAUUAGGGCUUUUUACUUCUUAAAGCAACACUCCAACAAUGAAGAAACUCCAUCAAAUAAAAGUUUUUCAAGUUCAAGUAUGUGUUCUAUUCUAUUUUUACUUUCUUUAAAUUUUUGUAAUUUAUUUUGUAAUGUUAUUUGUUUGUGGUUUAAUUGAGAAAACAUAACAUAAUAAAUUAAAAUGGGAAGCAUAAUGUUUAAUGUUGAUAUUGUUUUGAUUUUUAUAUUUUUUUUGUUUUCAUUUGUUUAUACAUUAGUUAUUAAUAAUAGACAACGGUGGAUAUUUUUCUAAUUUUUGAGAAAAACUCAAUCCCAAUGAAACUUAUAGAAUUGUACAUUAGUAACUUACAAUGAGCGUGAUAUUUUUAUAAUUAUUAAAAAUGUGGCUAUCAUGCAACAAUUUCAAGCAAUGAAACCUCAACAAAAUGUUAUUAUAAAUAAUAUUUGAGAAUUAUUUAAUUUUGUGAUUUACUUUAUUAAUAUUUUAUUUUUAAAUUUUUUUUUUUCCGAAUUUGACCCACUAAACUCCGAAGCUGGAUGCACCUCUAUUAGCAUGUAGGGAAUAUGAUCUUCCGAUGGGUUUGUGCCAACAUUUCAUGCAAUUAAUACACUAGAUGAGUCAUUGUAGUAACUCAUCACUCUAUUAGCCCUCCUACAUCACAUGGCUAAAUAGGUAGAAACAUCUUGCACCACUCAUUUAUGCCAACAAAUCAAAAAAAAAAAAAAUCUAAGCUAAGAUUCCUAGCAAAUUUGGUGUAAUCAAAUCUUGGAGUAAAUCUUUAUAGCAUUAAUUAUAUAGAUAUGGGUUAUCUUUUCCCCUUGUCCGAAUCCUCCCAUUCCUUUCUCUUGAUUUUACACACAUGCUUAUUUAGGUGAAUUAAUUACAUAUCACAUAAUAUUUUAAUUAUAGUCUCAUAAGAGUUCAGAAUAUUAUAUCUCUCAGCUAUCAAGAAAAGAACUCAACAACAACAAAGCUUUCAUCUCAUCGUUAAUGACCACUUUCAUCGUAUUAAACUGAUUUAUCAAACUCUCAAAAUCACUAAAAUAUUCUGCAACGGAAUUUCAAUCUUUGAACUUACACAAGUUUACUAAUCAAGAAAGCUUUAUUCUAUGUCGUCUUCCUUUCAUACAUGGACUCCAAUUUAUGUUAGAGAGCAUAGACUUUAGUUUCUGUGGCACAAUGAUGAAACAUACACUAUGAUCCACCACUGAUCAGACCAAUAGUCAUCAUGUUCAUUUUGUUCCACUGCGCGUCACUCUUGUUUGUGGACUUGACUCAAUCGUUCUCAAAAGGCUCAUACAAAUCCUUGCAGUAAAGAAAAUCCUUCAUUCUCUUGGCUUCCAAAUUGCAAAAUUUGUAGCCUUGAGUUUAAUCAUGCAACCUGUUGUCUGAUCCUUUAUAUAAUCCGCACAAAAAAAACCCAUAAAAAUAACCAAGCUCACUUGUACUGGAAUUAAACGAUCCAUUCUACCAAAAAGUAUCAGUACGAAUGCAACACACACAUGUGUAAACUGGCCUAACAAGUAUGUUGGUUCACCUCCUUACCUAAAAUGUUAAACUAUUAGGUUGAGACUCCACCUUACUUAUUAACCCAUCUACGUACACUUUUAAAUUUAUCCGGUGUUAGAUUCAUGUAAAAUAUCUCAACCACCUCCACCUUUUGAUUAGUACUUCUCACAAGUAUCAUACUAGAGUAUGUCACCAUUGAGCACACCUUCUUUGAAUACUUGAAGAGCCUUACUCGACUCUAAUACUACUCCACCACACCAGACGCAAACGUGGGAGUACAACCUUACUCCUUGUAAACCUUUCACCAUGAAAAUCUUUCCAAAGCUAUCAUGAGCCCUCUGCAUUUGACUCAAAUCUACUUCAACGCCUAGUGGCAAACGCGUGAGUGAUCCUGUUAGGCUCCACUCGACUCAACUUUAUUUGCUCUACCACGUGAACUAGGUAACACGCGGGGCCUGCGAAUAUGCUCCACCCUGGAGUACCAACCUAAUAUUUGGGUCCAUCAAAUCAUGGGCUCUGAUAACAAUUGUAGUAGAAUUAAAUGAUCCAUCCCACAUCAAUUCCAUAGCUAAUACAACACAUGUAACGCCCCCAAAUCCGGAUCCCUUGAACCUUGGGUCUGGUGCAUCACGGUAUUACACAUCCAUGAGUUAUAACUGUGACGCCCCCAAAAUAGGUAUACAACACCCAUUCUGAGUCGCCAAAUACAUGGUACAGAAACAACUACAACGUUAUUAAUAUAAUUGUCUUGCAAAAUACGACAACACAUAAACUGUGAGUUAAAAUACAAAUAUUAUCAUCUAGACAAUAUCAACACCCAAAUAAGUCCUCAUCACAAUUAUUGAUACAUUAUUUUACAAAAUAGUGAGGACUACUAUAACAACUGCCUUGGAACAUCACUCCACAACCCGACUACUACCCGCUAUAUUCUCGCUUCCUGAGAAGAAAAAUAGAACAAAAAGGAAAAGGGUGAGCUCAACUAGCCUAGUAAAGAAUAUUAUGACUAAGAUAAUAUAGAACAAAAUAUCGUUAGUCCUCAAUAGGGAAAAAAAUUUGAUAGAAUACAAUAGACAACAAGUUUUAAAUCAAUAUUCGCACCGAAAAUAACAAUUCAUUAGAAGAGUUACGUAGAGAAUGAAAUCUAUUUUCUUCUAUGAAUUUAAAAGUUUAUCAUCAAUAUUUUAUCCCUGUAACAUCAGUCAAUAUACAUCUUGAACCAAAUAUUCAUCUUUGCACUACAGGCCAAAGAUAUUCAUCAGUUGAUCAUGUUUAUCUCAACAUCUGUUCAUCUUUGCAUUACGGGCCAAAAAUAUUCAUUAGAAAAUCAUUCAUCUUUGCACUACAGGCCAAAGAUAUUCAAUAAUAUCAUCAUUUAGGACUGAGAAUGAUGAAAAAUAUUUUAAAGAAAAUGAAUCCAGUGAAACAAAAGAAUAAAUAUUAAGGAUUCGUAUUUCGAUUUAUCCAUGUCCAAAAAUACCUCAUAAAUGAUCAUAGUGGAGUAAAUUUCAAGAAUGAUCAAAACUUGGAUACAAUCAAAGCUAGUAUCCAUAAUAGAUAUUUUGGACGAAAAAGAAAAAUUUAAUUUUUCUGUGAAUAGUGUCGUAUUCGUGAAUAGUGUCAUAUACGUGAAUAGUAACCCCGACAAUAUAUUUUUUUCUUAUCACAAGAAAAAUCUUACCAAUAUUUCAGCAUAAUGAUAUUGAAAGAAAUAAUAUCAUUUAUAAAAAAAAUAACAUCCUUUACCUUGAAAGAAUAGUACUUCUGGCUAGAAUAUCAGAUAUAACGCUGAAAGAACUUGCACCGUAUAACAACACUCAAGUAUCAAAAUACUCACAAGAAUACGCUCGAAAAUAUAGAGAGAGAAAUUUUUAGUUUCUGGUGUGAUUUUCAAUUCUAACUUAAGCACCCUAUUUAUAGGAAAUUGCUUAGAACACCAAAGCAGAAAAUUUAAUAAAAUAAUAAUAUAUUUUUUUCUUAACUUCCUACGCACACUUAUUUUGUCCAAACACCAGCCACACCUCACCAACAACCACCAAAAACGUUUUUCCAUUAUAAACUCAUUUAAAACACCAAAAAAACAAAAAAAAUAAUUAAUCCGGAACUUUAAUAAUUCACAAUAAAUAGCCCCUUUAUCAGAAAAAUUCAAAUCUUAUGUCCAUUCCAUAGGAAAUUCAAUUCUCUACAACUUUUUAGUUUUAAGUUUUUUCAAAUUCCAAACAGAAAUUGACCGAAAUCUACAUACGAACGAUUUUAUAGGCUAUAAUCAAAUUUCAGUCAAGAAAUGGGGUCCACAAACAUGAAAAAUAUGUUUUAAAUAUUUUUAGUAACAAAAAUACUCUUCCUCCUCAUAUAUUCAUAUAUCCCACAUUCAUUGUAAAAAAUAUCACCAUUAUUAUAUUAUAAUAAUAUAAUAAUAUAUUUAAAUAAAUUAUUUUAUCAGAAAAAGAUAAAAUAUUAAUUUUCAAGAAUUGUCACAUUAAAAAUUUUCUCCAUCUAUAUCCACAUAAAAUGAAUAUUUUUCUUAUCAUAUAAAUCAAUAAUUAAUUAUUCAUAAAUAAUAUUACAGAAUCACAAUAUCGACAACCAGACCAUUCCCAGGAAAGAGGGGGCUUUCCAAUAAGGAUUUCUCCUUACUGGCGCGCAAUUAGGUGACCAAACCUCUCCUUAGACAGAACUUUCUAGACAUUGCCAAUAAUGUUAUCUAAUAAUAUUAUUCAGAUAAUAUGAAUUAUUGCUUCGAUAAUGGAAAAUACUGUGUAGUGACAAUUAUUGAAACAACAGUAAUAUAAAAUAUCAACGCAGCAAUUAUUGAAUCAAUAAAAUAAAAUACUGAACAGUAAUUACUGUAACAAUUAUUGAGUAGUGCCUUCUUACGUAAGAAUCAAUAAUUGGUGCAAUACCGUGUGCUACUGUGCAACAACGCGUAUUACUGUGUUUUAACCACCGGGUAUUCCAACAGUAUUAACGGUAACAACUACGCCGUUAUUUUUAAACAACUUAUAUUUGUCGUUUUCUUCAUCCAAUCGCUUUCCGUUAUGGGGCCCACACAUGGCUGCGCCGUCGUACGAAUAUUCCCCGACAGUAAGAAUAUUCCACGACCAAACGAAUAUUCCCCGACAACAAUGAAUAUUUUAUAACCACUUACUUAUUUGAAAUAUUUGCGCAUUUUACCCAUAACUAACCACAUUAAUCAAAUCAACCCUUACUAUUUCAAAAUAAUAAAUAGAGGAAAUUCAAUUUCAUUUAUAAUAAGUUGGGGUCUUACAAUAACUAACUAUAUUUAACUUAAUGACAAUAAGUAAAUAUAUUUAUUACCAUAUAUCCUUACAUUUUCUCAAGUAAUUAACCUUUGAAUAAAUAUCAACAUUAUGUUUGAUUAAAACUUACAACUUUACUCUAUUCUAGAAUCUCAAUCUUUAUACAUUUCAAUACAACUCACUGUCAUAUACAUUAUAAUCCAUUUGAUUAUAUUAAUAGUCUGUACCAACCUGUAACUCAUAUAUAUACAUAAAUGUUCAGCACAUUAUCGUGGUACCUAUUUGCUUUAAAUAUUAUUCUAACAUUUCACUUCAGCCUAUACCCUUUUAGUAACACUGUGUACCCCCAAAAAGGUUUUAUUAGGAUAUUUGCUAAUCUUGUGAUAUUCAACAAUCAUUCUCUGUUCAUUGGUCUUUACCGAAACUCAGAUGCCUCGUACAUAACUGAAAACAUUUAUUUAUGGCUCAACAAGUUUAACAGUAAUAACUUAACAAAAAGUUUAUAUUUUCCAUACGUUCUAUGCAUAAUAUUCAUGUCUCGCAGUUAUAUGCACUGGAUAUUUAGAUCAUGCAUUAUAAAAUGUGUAUGCAAUACAUGUUCCACAUACCAUACAAUGAUUCACCUUAUUAUGCUUUUCAUUUCAUAGUAUAGGGUUCAAAAAGAACAGUUCAACUAAAUAUAACAGCUAACAACAACAACUUAUAACAUAUGAUAACAUAAAAGCACAAUAGCACAUACAACAUUUCAAACAUAUGAGCAAGUUCUGAAAAACUUGCCUGAAGCGACGUUUUACCAUUACACCAACUUCUGUGUUCAUUGCACAACCUACACUGUAUGUGGAAUUGAUAACAAAAUACAUUAUUAGUCAAAGCUUGACUAUUAGUUUAAUCUUACUUUAAAAUCUUAUCUUAACUUAUUAUUUCUUGUAUUGUCUUUAUAGACAUCCGACCGUGUUAUUUACAUAACUGAACUCUAUAUCCCACUUCAUCACCACAUGUGCUAAUUUGUUGUACUUGUAGUUUAAUGUGUGUAUAUCACACCAUAUGACUUACCAUACUUGAUUAAAUACCUACAAUCUAGGUAACAAGUUGGAUUAGGUCCAAAGCUUUUUAUCCAAUCACUUAUUAUACAUAUAGUCAUUCACAUGGUUAUGACUUCAAGUUAUUUAAUUAUAACCAUAACAUUUAUUUAAUUUCUUUUUCAAGUAUAUACUAUAUUAGUGUCAAUACUCCAAUACAUUACAUUAUGUAUAAACAUACAUAACACAUAUCAUAGUUAGUUGUUCUUAACAUAACUAUGUUCCUAAAAAUCUUAAUUCUCAUACGUUGAUGUCUUAGAACAUUUCUCGAUUUAAUUUUAUUAAACAAAUUUUUAAACUUCUACUUUACCCCAAUAUUUGGUUCCCUCCUAAUUUUGAUGCAUCAUUACCUUGUUGGUCAAUUACUACACCAUUAAAAUUACAUAACACAGUUACAACAUGAACGCAUACACCAUAAAUCUCAAAAACUGAAAAUCUUCACCCUUGAAAAUUUUAGUUUCUCUAACUUCUUGAAUUUCAAGGCUAUUUCGGGGAUUUUUAUUAUUUUAUAUAUUGCUUCAUUUGAUUCCAAGUUUACACAGAGAUUUAGACCAUAUGACAUAGUAUUUAAUCCAUCCUUUAGUUGACUAGGAACAUCUCAUUAAAGCUUCCAAAACAGAGGCUCAAAACCCAUGUUCAGAGCUGUCACACUACUAUUGUUCUGCAGUUUUUUAGUAUUUUCUAGAUUACUUUGCAAAUUUUUACGAAUUUUUGAGUGAACCCAAUUGCUUCCAAUUUUGAACAAACUUUGAAAUCACAUGACAUAGUAUUUUAUUCAACACUUAGCUGGCUGAAAACCUUACAUUAAGGUUCUCAAAACAGUUGCUCAAAAAACUCGCUCUGAGAAGUCACACUGUUGGGUCUAUAAUUUAAGCUACACAACGCUCCACUUAAAUUGUCACCUCGUUUAAUAAAUCAUAUAACCUUAUAAAAUAAUGUUAAAAAUUAUUCCAUAAUAAAAUAAUUAAGUCUAAUGCUUAAUUAAUUAAAACUUUUCACCUGGCCCUCAUGGCCAUUAUUUAAGUUUGGAGAGUUCUCAAUAAUACAAAUACUUGAAUAAUUAUCUCAUAAUUCAAAAUAUACUAUAUUCUAAUCCUAAUCCUAAAGUAACAAAAUGAUAAAAUUAUAAUUAUCUAGAAUUAACUAAUUAUAGUUAUAUUCUCUAAUACGCCCCCUCAAGCCAAACAGAGGUAAUAGGAGCUUGAGCUUGAACUUGGGAAAAUAGCCAUGCGUAUGUAAAACAUGUGAAAUAAUAACGCCUUGAAGAAUGGAGAACACGAACAAUUUCUAUGAGAGAUAAAAUAGAAACAUAGCAUGCAUGAUAAGUACUGCAAAUAACCAAUAAGACUGGAACGUGUUUGGUUGUUUGAACACUUGCAAUAAAAAGGGACUUUCUGUACUUCUUGUAUUAGACUACCAUGAACACACUUAGAAAAUUCCAUUAAUCCAUCAAGAUAUGAAAUGUGGGAUGUAUCAAGAGAAACAUUCCCUCAUCUGUUAAAUGAGGUGAAAAUGAUGGACAAACUAAAAAUGAAUCCUUGAAGAUGUUCGAGUGAAAAUGAGAAUAUAUAGUCAGCAGUUGCAGAGAAAAAUGAGGAUAAUAACUCAGACUUGAGACUAGAACAAUUUGCGUGAAUUGCUAAUAUAAGAUUAUCAGUCAACAAUGAAGAAGAACCAAUCAGACUUAUCGAAUCCUCAGGAUGUUCAACCACAGAAAAAUUAAUAUUAUAAUUAGGCUCAACAAUAAUAGGCUCAAUUUUAGAAGUGUCAAGAGAAGUGAAUUGUUGUAACAGUUUUUCAUGUCCAAAUAAAAGAGUGGCAAAUCAUUAAAUGAAGGGUGCAUCAAAUGAUAAUAAACAUGAACUUUGUUGUAAAUAGUAUCAUCAAGGCCUUCAACUAAAAAAUUUGUAUACUCUGACUCACUCAGAGAACCUCUCGCGCUUUCAAAUGCAUAAAGAAGCGUUGUCGCUUCGGCAAGAUAACUUUUGACAGACUGAGUAGGUAACUUUUGUAAACAAAAUAUUUGAUCGAAGAAAUCAUUUAUAUACCAUGAUGUCGCAUCAUCUAGGAAUUUGCAGUCAUCUAGGAAUUCGCAAUCAUCAUUUUCAUGGACCAAAGAGUCGUCAAAAUUUUGAAAUGGAUCGUAUAUUUGAUCUGUCAUGGAGGCGAGACCAAUUUUUGGAUUGGCUAAUAUGAUCGGAGACAGGGUUCCUGGAAUGAUUUUGGGUUAAGCCACCUUUCCAAAUCAUAGGAAGAAUGAAAAUAGAAGACAAGAAAGCCAUUGAUAGAAGAAGAAUUUUAAGAUCAAAAGAAAAUAAAGUGUCUAGAUCAGGGAAUAGAAAGAUGAUUUUUUUAGAAGAAAGAAGAGUGAUAGUAAAGUAGAGAGGAAUAACAAAAGAAGAAGAAGAAGAAAUCGGGGACAAUUGCUGGAAUGCAGACAUGUGAUCAGGGUGUCUGGAUUAUGGUAUAUAAUGUUUGGAUAGUGAGACAAUAGAGCUGACACAUGAUAGUAAGAGGACGGAAGAGAAUUAAGAUGAAGAAUGUUAAGCUAUUUGAAUGUGGAGACUAAGGAUCGAAAGUUGUUAAGCUAAUGAAAGCUUUGAUGCCAUAUAAACACAAGUAAAACGAUUAUUAUAAUAUUGUCUCCACAAAAUAAUAAUACAUAUUCUUAAUAUAUAUACAUGAGUUUGGAUAGUUCUCAAGUAAUACAAAUACUUGACUAAUUAUCUCAUAAUUCAAAAUCUAUUAUAUCCUAAUACUAAUGUAACAUUAUGAUAAAAUUAUAAUUAUCUAGAAUUAACUAAUUAUAGUUAUAUUCUCUAAUAUAUCUAUAAGAUCAAUCAUAUGGAAGCUAAAAAUGACAGUGUGUUAGUUCCCGGAGGCACAAAAGAGAUCUAGAAGGGGGGGGGGGGUUGAAUAGAUCCUUUAAAACUUUUUCUUUUUCUUUUCUUGAUAAGUGAUUAACAUAUAAUAGAAUCAAUUCAAGUACAGUAGAAUAGGUUAGGAUCCCCUUCAUGGAUGUAGCAUUAAACACAGUUCUAAUGUUAGAUUAGUUACAAGCAGAUAUAGCAGUUAUAGUGUUGAAUGUAAAUGAUAUAAAGUAAGUGACAACAGGGAUUUUAAGUGGUUCAGAGACAAAAUGCUCCUACUCCACUCUUCGGCUUCAACAAGUAAUGAUUCCACUAAGGAUUUGAUCAACUUCGAAUCACUAAGAUUCCUUCAAGACCAACAGCCUUAGAACUCUAGUUCACUAAGAACUCUUCAAGACUAGCUGUAACAAACGAGAUUUUUAUAUUUGAUUUUUAAGUAUUUGUUGAAUUAAAUAAAUAUUUUGUUGAUUUAUUUAUUGUGAUAAACAAAUAUUUGAUGGAAUGGUUAUGGAUUAAUCGAUUAAGUGUUAUACAUUAAUUAAAUUAAUGUGGAAUAAUUUUAUAGUUCAAACUGUGAAUUUAACUGGGAUAAUUAAAUUAAACGAGUUGUUAAAUAAUUAUAAUAUUGUUCUAAUUAAUUUAAUAAUUAAUUAGAGAUUUAAUGAUUUGUUAUAAUUAAUGAAUAAGAAUUUUAAUUAUGUGGUAAUUUGAUUUAAUGAGUAAUAUUGGCUUUAAAUUAAUUGAGUUUAAAUAAUAUUAUUUGAUUAAUUAAAGUGUGACGAAUAAACUAUAUAAUAAACAAGUUAAUUAAAAUAAAUGAAAAAGAGCCUUUUAAAGGCUAGCCAAACAUGGCCUUAUGAACAUUGGAGCAGUUAAAUGCGUAAUGGCCUUAACUGACACCCAUGUUGUGCCAGUCAUUAUAUAUUACGUAUAAUAAGUUUAUAUCGUUUUUGGUUAAGUCUGAGAAUACAAUUGUAAGACCCCAACUUUUAUGAAUAAAGAUUAAUUUUUCUCGAAAUAUAUUUUUGAAUAUUAUGGUGUGGAUUUGAUAUAAUGUUAUAGUUGUGGGUAAUAUUUACAAAUUUUGCAAAGUAAGCAAGUGGUUAUAUAAUAUUCGAUUGGUCGGGAAAUAUUCGUUUUAACAGGGAAUAUUCGUACGACGACACAAUCAUUGGUGGACCCCACAACGGAAGUAUUAUCGUAGUUAGAAAAUGACAGAAUUAUCCCUUUAUAAAAAUAACUGCGAAAAUUUUACUAUUAAACUAUUGAACUACCCGGUGAUAAAAGUACAAUAAUACACGUGGUUGCAUAGUAGCUGUGACACCCCCAAAUCCGGUACUUCCAUUUCCACAGGAUUUGGUGUUCACUGUACAAAUAUCAUCUAUCUAUCUACCCAUAAAUAAAUGCAAACCAUGCAAUAGAUAGAAAUAAUAAAUAAAUCUCCCCUUAUGGGGUUACAUCAACUGCAUAAUAAAAAUCCCAGGUUGCUCUAACCUUAAACAUUUGUGCAGAAUCAUAAACAAAUAAGUCUUAAGUAACAUCAAGUCUAAUUAUCAUUACAUAACCACAUAAAUAAUCAGUCUUCAUUACUUGCUAAGCUUGCCCUUGCCUUUACUAGUGGAAGGCUCGUCAGAUCGUUCGUUCUUAACUGCAAUAUUAUUAUUACGCAAGAGUGAGCACGAUUGCCCACAAGUAUAACAAUAUAACAAAUGAAUAAUAACAUGCGAGUGAAUUAAUAACUUCUAAUAUAAAAGCUCAACUUUUGAAUCAAGAAAGAAUAACAAGAAUCAAAAGAAAUUAUGAGGGUCAUAAGACCUUGAACUAUGUCCUAGGUUGUCAAGUGUUUAUACUUGAAACCUUUAACAAUCANNNNNNNNNNNNNNNNNNNNNNNNNNNNNNNNNNNNNNNNNNNNNNNNNNNNNNNNNNNNNNNNNNNNNNNNNNNNNNNNNNNNNNNNNNNNNNNNNNNNNNNNNNNNNNNNNNNNNNNNNNNNNNNNNNNNNNNNNNNNNNNNNNNNNNNNNNNNNNNNNNNNNNNNNNNNNNNNNNNNNNNNNNNNNNNNNNNNNNNNNNNNNNNNNNNNNNNNNNNNNNNNNNNNNNNNNNNNNNNNNNNNNNNNNNNNNNNNNNNNNNNNNNNNNNNNNNNNNNNNNNNNNNNNNNNNNNNNNNNNNNNNNNNNNNUUUAUUUUAUAAAUAUUUUAAUAAUAAUUUUCAUCGAAUAUUUAUUUUACUCCAUAAAUAUCUCAAUUAAAAUAUUUAUUUUAUUUUAUAAAUAUUUUAAUAAUAAUUUUCAUCGAAUAUUUAUUUUACUCCAUAAAUAUCUCAAUUAAAAUAUUCAUUUUAUUUUAUAAAUAUUUUAAUUAUUAUUAUUAUUAUUAUUAUUAUUAUUAUUAUUAUUAUUAUUAUUAUUAUUAUUUUUAUUUCCGCCGGGGCGGGGUAAUUUAAUUUGGUAACACCCGCCGGGGGAGGAGAUACCCAGACUCAGUUUCUGCAGUUCACACGUAGCAAGGUUGGGCCAACAAAAAUCUCUCAAGUUCACCCAUAUGUUCUCGUGAAGAACACAGAGAACAUGGCCACAACUUCCAAUUUCCUUAUCCAUAUAUUAAUUUAACCAUACCCAAAUACUAUAAUUCAUAUAUGAUCAUUACCCAAUCUUUAUAGAGUGAUUUUAACCAAUUAAAACACAUAAUUACAGAAUUAAGACAUGCAAUUUCACUGUUCUUGAUGUUCUUGAAAAUAUUGAACAUAAAACAUGAAAAUUAACACUAAGAAUUCGUUAUAAUACCAAAUCCAUCCAUUCAAGUUUUGUUUACUUCGUUUUAACAUGCAUAAUUAUAUACAAGUGUAAAAUUUAGGGAUAAUAUAUGAUCAACGCAUUAAAUUUGUGAGUAAGGGCCAUAUGGCCAUAUUUCUCUACUCUGUAAUUUUUGAGGCCAUAACAUACAUUGUAGUUAUAAUAUUAUGAAACUUAUGAUAUGGAACCAUAUACAAUAUAUAUAAAACAUGUUAUGCUACUCGUAUUAUUACAUAUAUCCAUAUAACAACACAAUUUCUCAUUUAUAGAGACUUUACAGAAUGAAUGAAAGCCAUUUUUUUUUACAAAACUAAAUGACGUAAAAUAGGAAUUAGGUUGAAGAGAUUACCCAAAGCGUAGAAUGUAAAUUCGCAGGAGAUGAAUUCCUUCUCAACUCUUCUUCAAUCACAAUUCACUUAACAAUUCUCUGAAUUCUCUCUGACUCUCAAUUUACUCUAAAAUGAAGAAUACGUAGAAUAAUGCCAACUGAGCCUUUAUGCGCAGAGUUGAGGUCAGUUACUCCAUACGUGGUUUAACUGCCCCCAACUCCUCUUAAGGCCUCAUUUGGCUAGUCUUAAAGGCUUAUAUCAAUUUAAUUUAAUAAAACCUUUAUAAUAUAGUUUGAAAAAUGUCACACCCUUUAUAAAAUAAAUCAAAUAUCUAGUUUAAUUUAUUUUAAAUAAAAUAAAAUAAUUUCUCAUUAAUUCACAUAGUCAAAUAAUUAAAUUCUCAUUUAUUAAUAAUGUCAAAUUAUUAAUCUCUAAUUAAUUAUUAAAUUAAUUAAAAUAACAUUAGGCUUAUUAAAUAUUCCCUUUUAAUUUAAUAAGCUCACAUAAAUACAUGCUUCGAAUAAUAAAAAUUCUUCACAUUAAUUUAAUAAAUAUAACACAUAUAAUUAAAUUAAUCUACCACAAUUUCAUCAAUUAAUUAUUUAAUCUAAUAAUUAAUUCAUCGAAAAAUAUUUAUUUAAUUCAAUAAAUAUUAAAAAAUUAAAUUACAAAAUCUCGGUUGUCACAUCUUUCCCCUCUUAAAAGGAUUCUGUCCUCAGAAUCACAACUCAAACAAUUCGUCCCGUUACAUUCUCCCCCCCUUACAAAGAUUCUGUCCCCAGAAUCGAUUAUACUAAUCUAAGUAAAUAAAUGAGGAUAAUUAUUUAUCAUAUUCUCUUCGAGUUUCCACGUUGCUUCUUCAGCAUUGUGGUUCCUCCAAAUUACCUUAACAGAAGGUAUUACUUUAUUUCUUAGAACUUGCUCUUUUCGGUCGACAAUCAGAACAGGAAUUUCUUCGUAAGAUAAGUCUUUGUCGAAAUGUAGGGGUUCAUAUUCAAUCAUGUGCUUAUAAUCGGGUUUGUAUGGUCGUAGGACUGAGACAUAAAAAUGUUGUGGACAUUCUCUAGAGCUGGAGGUAAGGCUACCUCAUAAACAACUUCUCCGACCCUCCUCAGAACUUCAAAGGGUCCAAUGAAUCUUGGGCUUAAUUUCCCUUUCUUUUCGAACCUGAUCUUUCCCUUCCAGGGAGAGACCUUUAAGAAUACAUAACUACCUGGCUCAAACUCAAUAUUUUUACGAUGUGGAUCGGCGUAUUUCUUUUGUCUAUCUUGAGCUGCUGUCAAUCUUGUUCGGAUCACUUUGACUAUUUUUGUUGUUUGUUGUACCAAUUUCGGGCCUAGUAAUUGUCUUUCGCUAACUUCAUCUCAGUAUAGCAGAGUUCUGCACUUUCUGCCGUAUAACGCUUCAUAGGGUGGCAUGCCAAUACUAGCGUGGUAACUGUUGUUGUAACCGAACUCUACGAGCGGUAGAUGGUCAUCCCAAUUUCCUUUAAAGUCCAUUAUACAAGCUUUUAACAUGUCUUCUAAUGUCUGAAUUGUUCUUUCACUCUGUCCAUCUGUCUGUGGGUGGUAUGCCGUGCUCAUUCGUAACUGUGUACCCAUGCAUUCUUGUAGACAUUUUCAGAAGUUCGACGUAAAGCGCGGAUCUCUAUCAGAAACAAUUGACACCGGAACUCCGUGCCUUGAAACAAUCUCUUUCACAUAUAACCUUGCCAACUGACCUAAGUUAAAUCUGAUUUUGAUCGGAAGGAAGUGUGCGGAUUUCGUCAAUCGGUCAACAAUAACCCAUACUGCGUCGUAGCCUUUCUGAGUUGUCGGUAGGCCAACCACAAAAUCCAUCGUAAUAUGUUCCCAUUUCCAUUCUGGAAUCUCUAAAGGUUGUAGUAACCCACUCGGCCUCUAAUGUUCUGCUUUAACUUUCUGACAUGUCAGGCACUUGGCAACACAUUCUGUUAUGAGCCUCGCUCAAAAUUUCUUCCUUAAUCUCUGGUACUGGCGGUACCCAAAUUCUAUUAUCAAAUCUUAGUAUUCCUUCCUUAUCCAUCUUGAAUCUUAAUUUAGUUCCUUCGGAUAUCUUCUUUUUCACCAUUUUACAUUCGUCAUCCUGAAGUUGAGCCUCCUUAACCAUGUCUAGUAGAGUUGUACCAGAUUGCAUCUAAAACAGCUUCUCAUCAAUCUCCAUAGGACACUUCACUUCCAAUUCCAGCUUUUCCAUUGUUGAAAUUAACUCCUCCUGAUAGGUCAAGAUCAUCAGUUUCUCCCGACCCUUUCUACUUAAGGCGUCGGCAACCACAUUUGCCUUACCCGGAUAGUAUAGAAUCUCACAAUCGUAGUCCUUAAUUAACCUCAACCACCUUCUUUGGCGCAUGUUCAAGUCUUUCUGUGUAAAAAUAUAUUUCAGACUCUUGUGGUCUGUAUAUAUUUCACACUUCUCCCCAUAGAGAUAGUGCCUCCAGAUUUUCAAAGCAAAAACCACUGCAGCUAACUCCAAGUCAUGGGUCGGAUACCCCUUCUCAUAAUCUUUCAGUUGUCGUGACGUAUACGCAAGGACUCUGCCGUUUUGCAUAAGCACAUAACCAAGUCCUUUAUGCGAUGUAUCGCUAUAAACUAUAAAAUUUCCUGUGUCAUCUGGAAGAGAUAACACAGGUGCUGUACUCAACCUCUUCUUUAAUUCUUGAAAGCUUUCCUCACACUUCUCCAUUCAAACAAAUUUCACCGAUCUUCUAGUCAAAUUUGUUAGCGGAGUUGCGAUCUUGGAAAAAUCCUGAAUGAAUCUUUUGUAAUAACCUACCAAUCCGAGAAAACUUCUUACUUCCGACAGUGUCUUCGGCUGAUCCCAGUUAAUCACAGCUUCGACUUUGGAGGGGUCCACCGAAAUUCCGUCCCUAUCGAUCGCAUGUCCAAGAAAUUAUACCCUUUCAAUCCAGAAUUCACAUUUCAAAAAUUUGGCAUACAACUUCUCCCUUCUUAAUGUCUCUAAUGUCACCCUCAAAUGCUCUUCAUGUUCUUCCUUGGUUUUCGAAUAUACCAAAAUGUCAUCUAUAAAUCCCACUACGAAUUUGUCCAAAAACGGCUUGAACACUCCAUUCAUUAAGCCCAUAAAUGCUGCAGGAGCAUUCGUUAGACCAAAUAACAUUACCAAAAAUUCAUAGUGACCGUAUCGUGUUCUGAACGCUGUCUUCGGUACAUCCUCUGGUCUCACCUUCAGUUGAUGAUAACCACUUCUCAAGUCUAUGUUUGAAAAGUAUCUUGCUCCCUUUAACUGAUCGAACAGAUCGUCAAUUUACGGUAAUGGAUAUCUAUUCUUGAUCGUGACCUUAUUCAGUUCUCUAUAGUCGAUGCAGAGCCGCAUCGUCCCAUCCUUCUUCACAAAUAAAACCGGCGCUCCCCACGGUGAUACGCUUGGUUGAAUAUACUUCUUGUCCAGUAAUUCUUGUAGUUGAACCAUCAGUUCUUUCAUCUCUACCGGUGCCAUUCGGUACGGUGCCUUCGAUAUUGGGGCCGUUCCUGGAGCCAAAUCGAUCACAAAUUCAACUGCUCUAUCUGGAGGAAGUCCUGGCAAAUCAUCCGGAAAUACAUUUGCAAAAUCUCUCACUACCGGUAUCUCCUCUAUUUUUGGAUUCUCUUUACGACUAUCGACUAUGUAAGCUAGAUAUCCUACACAGCCUUGCCUUAACAACCUCCUGGCCUGAAUCAUCGUCAGACAACUCGCUUGUCUAGGCGACUUGCUACUAUAAAACAUAACCUUUGACGGAGUCAUAAGGUUAAUACGCUUCUUCUGGCAGUCAAUUACCACCCCAUAAUUGGAUAACCAGUCCAUACCCAAAAUAACGUCGAAUUCUCCUAGUCGAAUAGGGAUAAGAUCUACGUUCAUGAUAUUACCCUUAAUAUCCACUCUACAGUUCUUAUGCACAAACUUAACAGGGAUGAUUUCUCUAUUCGCAAUUUCUAUAUUCAUGGGGUAUUCUAACUCGUCCUUAAGCAAUUCUAAGUUCUUAGCAAAGUCAUCGGAUAUAAAUGAACAAGUAGCACCCGAAUCAAAUAAUACAUAAGCAUUAAUUUUAUUGAUCGGAAUGAUACCUGACACCACAUCGCGAGACUGCACUGCAUCCUGCACUGUCAUGUUGAAUGUUCUGGCGGUCGGUCGGUUGCAGUUGGUCCCGUGAUAGUUAAAGCACUUCCACCACUGUUUCCUUUGUUCCCUCCUGAUCCUGUCCCUCCAGAUCCCUUCUUGGGACAGUCCCUUGCCGGAUGAUCCUUUGAACUACAAGUGAAGCAGGCACCCUUCUUUGGGUUUGGAUAGUUUGGUGCUAUGUGGCCUUCCUGACCGCAAUUGUAGCACACUCGCUUCCCUUUCAUGCAAACUCUCAAAUGAGUUUUUCCACAGGUUGGGCACGCUUCGAUCUUCUUCUUCUGCCCUCCUUGUUGACUUCCAGCUAACGAGUUAUCCAUCCACUUCCUCUUCUGAUUAUGGCUACCCCCAGUGCUACCCCCACCAGUCUUGUUAUUACCUUCAUUCUCACUCUUUUUCUUCUUCUGAUCCUGAUUAUAUUUCGUUACUACAUCGCUUCCACCCUCAGCGAGUAUGGCCUUCUCUAACACUCCAGCAAAAGUGUUCAAUUGAAACAUUGACACCUUGCUAUACAACCAGGGCUUCAGUCCCUACUCGAAACGUCUUGCCUUCCUCUCAUCGGUAUGCACUUGGUAUGUGGCGAAUCUAGCACUACAAGAAAUCACACAAAAAAUGACGCUAAAAUUUGUCACAUAAAAUUCAUUUUUCGUCUCUAAAAUAUUUGGUGACGAUUGUUAAUCGUCACAGAGACCGUCACUGUAUGAGCGUGGUAUUAGGUAUAUUGGACAAUAUUUGAUGUCGUUACUAAAUGUUUUAACUUAUGGUGACGAUCUACAUCAUUGUCACUAUAAUUAAUUACUUUUAGUGACAUUAAUAGCGUCACUAUUUGAAUAAAACUUUCGUCACUCUAUAUUAUGUUUCGUCAUCAAAACUUGGUGCAUUAAAUGACAAAAAUUAUUUUUCGUCAUUAAAUGAUAUUGUUUUAGUGACGAAAAUAUGACGAUAAUAUUGUCAUAUUUAUGAUUAUUUUUUCGUCAUAUUAUUGUGUUUAUCGUCACCAAAAAUAAGAAAAUAAAUGACAAAACAAUUCGUCACCUAAUACUAUAUUUAACAUGACAAUUAUGUCGUUGUCAUUUCAUAUUUUAAAUAGUAUUACAAAAUAAUUUGUCACCAAAGAGUUAUUUUUUGGGACACAUUUUUUAAUGUCACUAAUUGAAUACUUAUGGUGACGAUAAAUCUCAUCACAGAAAGAGUUAAUAAUAGUGACAAAAUUAGUUAUUGUGACAAAAUGAAAAACUAAAUAUAAAAUUAUAAAUCUAGAAAUAAGAAAAAAGAUUACACUAAGAUGAUGACCAAUAAAUUCCAACCCUUUAAAUAAAAUCAUCGUGUUAUACAACAACACUAGUAGAUCUGAGCAACAAACUCGGCCUUACCAACAAAAGAACGCAGUUAAUUAAUACUCAAAUACAUGAACAUGUGCAUGAACUAUUUUCACAAUAAAGUGCAAAGUAAUGAGCCAAUGACCACUAUGUGCAUGAAAUAUUUUCACGUGAACUCCAGACGCACCAAAGUUUCUGAUUUCAUCCUUCAGCGCCUCUAUUUUUUGCUUUACAUCAGGCCGUCCCAAGAUCUCUUCAUAUUUUUUUUGGAUUUCUAGUUGAAAGGUCUCCUUGUUCGUUGCACAUACAUUCUUAGCUUUAGAUGAAGUAUACUAUUCUUGUAAAAGAACCAAGGUGAAUGUCCUCACAUCCAUUGAAUCAAUAAUUGCAGCCUUUAUCUGUUGUGAGGUCCAAUAGGGAUCUGCAUGUGUACCACCAAGUGACUCUUGCAGUUGGUUUAAAAAUCCCAUUCAAAUAGCAUAACAAGUAAAAUAUGGUAAAGCUAAACAAAACCUAGAAAACAAGAGGGGUCUGACAUUUUUAAACUACACAAAUUCAAUUUCAUGACAAAAAAAAGUAGAGAAGCAGCGUGAGAGAACAUUAUUGAAUCAAUGUAACUGACUUAUAGAACAUUAUUGAAUCAAUGUAACUGACUUAUUUACUUUCCUCCUAGCAUGUGUUCCAAUCAUACCUGUUUGACGCAAAACAUUAACUACCUAAAGGAGGAAAAUCAUUGCCCUCUGUGUAAGGUACCUACCUCUUCCAUAGUUUAUAAGAUUAAAAGACUUAUAUACCUGUUUUAUGCCUUUCAUGGCAAAACAACAAACAAAACAAUUCUACCACCUGAUGAGUUUAGGAUCUGCAGGUCCUAAAGAUGGUCCAAUAACAACCACUUUAAUCCUUAUAUUCCGCCAUCGUCUUCUGAAAAAAAUUGUAACACCAUCCAUAACUGCAACCAAGUUUAGUAAAAUAUAUAGAUAUUAACACAAAGUAACAAGAUCAGAAAAUACAACAUACUCGCCAUGCAAAACCAUGGUAUCAUCCAUAAGCACCUUCCUUUUAUUAGCCCGAGGAGCAGACCUAUGACGUUUCAGAAACAUGUCAGGCUGCGGAGUAUCCUUUACUUUCAAAACUGAAGACUUUCUUCCAACUGCAGCAACAGUAAGUUAUAUUAGAAACAUCUAAAGAGAAAGGAAACCUUGUAACAAGUAAAUAAUUUAGAUGUUAUAACUUCUAGAAAAUAACAAAGGUAAUUACUCUCUCAAUUCUGAACAAUUAUGUUUCAUGUCCACAAAACAUCACCAGUAAACAUUACUAGUAAAUUAGGAUUCCUAUAUAUUUUACUGCAAUAAAAUCCCAAAAGACUAGGGCCUAGACUCAUCAAAUCAACUAGAGUUAUAACCACCACCCUCCUUUUGAGAAAGGCUGUACGAACCAUAUCAAUUAGCUCCUCAUCCAGGGCUUCAAGAUCCCCAAAAAUGCAUAGGCGGUGAUAUAAAGGAGCCACAUAAUCUGCAGCAACCUCGAUCAAUUUCCACUGAGAUUAACUAGUAGCUAGUUUUAGGAUUUUAAUAGACAAGUAUGAAGUAGAAUCCAAGCAUGAUAUUAUUACUCUCGAGCACUCUUCAUGAAGAUCAUCUACAACCCAGAAUUCAGCAAGCCAAUAAAGCUCUAAAUAAGUUACCAGUUCAUUUAGCUUUUCGUUAGCAUCCAAAUUAUCCCAAAAACAGCCGGAUACAGGAAGAGGCAGAACAUUUGAAUAGAACCAAUCAACUAGUUUCAUCAGUGCUUUCCAACUACUGGAGACUUUAAUGGUUUGUGAAUGGCUGCAGCAUAAAUACUUGAAAGUGAGCUAAAAAGCUUUGCUUUCGAGACAGGGAAAUAUAAAAUUUGNNNNNNNNNNNNNNNNNNNNNNNNNNNNNNNNNNNNNNNNNNNNNNNNNNNNNNNNNNNNNNNNNNNNNNNNNNNNNNNNNNNNNNNNNNNNNNNNNNNNNNNNNNNNNNNNNNNNNNNNNNNNNNNNNNNNNNNNNNNNNNNNNNNNNNNNNNNNNNNNNNNNNNNNNNNNNNNNNNNNNNNNNNNNNNNNNNNNNNNNNNNNNNNNNNNNNNNNNNNNNNNNNNNNNNNNNNNNNNNNNNNNNNNNNNNNNNNNNNNNNNNNNNNNNNNNNNNNNNNNNNNNAGGGGACAACAGAGAAUAAAAAAUUUGCACGUAUAACAAGAUGUUGGAAGCAUAUGUCUAGCAUAUAUAUAACCCCCUAACUUAUGGGUAAUCCUGACCAGUUGCCUGCAAAGCACACUCUGUAUACCCCAAAAUAGCACGUCUACUACAUAAUAACUAGUGAAAUCCUUAAAGUGACAACUUUGAAAUAGGGGCUUCCCUGAAUGAGAGAACCUCCCCUGGAGGGCCAAAAUAGUCUCAACAACUGCUAUUUGAGCAGCAGGGAAGUCUGAAUUUCUAAGACAUGAAAUAAAAAUAUCUAUUGCCUCUUCUCGAUAUAUACUUGCUGUAAGCUGUUAUUGAACGUUUAUAAAAUAUAGGCCUAAAUGGAAUCAAGAAAAAGAAGAAGAAAGAAGUACCUGUUAAAUUUAACUAAUUCUGAAAGAAAUUGAACUAUCGGAAAACUCUCUCCAUCAUUUGCCCCCAAGAAGCUCUCUAAAGUUGGAGCCAAUUCAGCCUUAUCAGCAAUGAUGUUCCUGCAAUUGCCAUCCUCCUGCAUACAUCACAACAAGAUACCAACAGCUGCAAUCCUUUCAUCUUUCCACUCAGCUUCCAAGCUGGACACAAUAUUUCCAAUCACUUUUUCCGAAAUCAAACUACUCAUAACUCCAGAUAUUGUGCUUUCCUCGACACUUCAAAGAAUCUGACCGAGCAAAAUCACUGAAGCUAAUUUUGGCUUCAUACACAUAUCAACAAAAUCAUCUUCUUUCUUUCUUAGUAUAGUUAAGAGGGAAUUCACCACAUCCAUAUCGAUAAGGCUCAUAGCAGCAGGUCUUAACAGAUAAACCAAUACAACAGUUUCUAGCAACCCCUUUUUAAAGAGUGCACACACUAAUAAACUAUGGUAAAAAGUACCAAGUAAAUAAUACUCAUUACAUUGAAAUGAUCGUUUGAGAUUAAUUUCUUUGGCCCAUCAUAUAACAAAAAAGGUACGAGUAGAUAGAGAGUUAAUGUUUCAAUUACCCAGUCAAGAAGGUAAAUAAAUUCUUCUGUUGGCCUAUAGUUUGUGUUGCUUUUACCGCUAACAAUUUCCAAUGCAACAAAUCCAAAACUGUAAACAUUUGCUUUGUCAGUUAAAUAACCAUGCAUUGCAUACUCAGGAGCCAUAUAACCUCUGCAGCACCAUAGACCAAUUUGAAGUGUCAGUUUAAGAUGUUACUGUGUCUAUGCUUAUAAUAAAGAUAUCUAAAAUACAGAAGUGUCACAAACUUCUGUACAUUUACAUACAUAUAAAAAAGAUAUACAUAGGAAAACUUACAUAGUUCCCACAAUCUUUGUACUAAUAUGGGUAUUACCAUCCUUGUUAAGUUUUGCCAAGCCAAAAUCAGAUAUUUUAGCAUUUAGAUGCUUAUCAAGCAGCACAUUGCUAGUUUUAAUGUCUCUUUGUACAAUUUUCAAACUCGACUCUUCAUGGAGGUAGAACAACCUUCUGGCUAUGCCUAGGCAUAUUUUCCACCUCAUACGCCACUCUAGCUUCAAUCUAGAUGUUGUCUCUUUUCCUGUUAUAAAUCAAUAUAUGAAGCAUUAUUAAGUCUCUUGUGUCAACACUAUCAGAUUUUUCUAACAGUUGUGUAUAUUUGUGUACAGGAAAUACAAAGAUUACCAAAAAGUGCACGGGAGAGAAAAUUAUUUUCCAUGUACUCAUAUAUCAAUGAUAACUGGUUUCCCUCAACACAACAGCCAUACAACUUCACAAGAUUAGGAUGCUGCAAUGCAGAUAUCAUGCCUAUUUCAUUGACAAAUUCACAGGUUCCUCGUUUAGACUUUGAUGAAAGUUGUUUCACUGCAAUUAUUGUUCCGUCUGCUAAAAAACCCUACAAGGGGGAACAACAGAAAACCAACUUCUUAAUAAAAAACAUAUAUAUCAUUGGAAGAUUCGAUCAUUUAUUAUGCAAUCAAAUAUUGAAAAGAAGUAAUGAGAAACAACUAUUUUACUUGAGAACCAAAAGCCACUGUCCUGAGUUUAUUAUAAUGGUUUAAAUAUUUAGUCUCUUAAAGCUUUGGAUGACACCUAUCCUUGUAAUUUGCAUUAAAUUUCAGAAAGAAAGGUGAGAAAAACAAAUGAUGAGUCCUUCUACAGGACCUUUUCAAUUAAAGUACUAAGGGGAGAUAAAUAUCUUAUGUAAAACUAGUCUUUACCCCAUGAAUCAUGUUAAACCACAAAUGGUUAAAGAUCUUACUAAACUGAUAAACAAUACUUUAUAGUGACAACACAUUCUUGCAACCCAUAUUCUUGAUGAUACUUAGUUCUAUUAAUAGUAAAUGUUAACUUCGCAGGAAAAAAAUAUUACCUUGUAUACUGAACCAAAACCACCUUCCCCAAGCUUGUAUGCUGGAUCAAAGUUCUUGGUUGCAGCUUUAAUCUGUCUCAAUGUAAAUAGUCCAAUUUGUAGGUCUAGGCCUUUAAGCUCUGCACAAUAUGCGUAGCUAUGGAAAGUUAGUGUACCAUGUUUAGAUAACAUGAUAUGAACACAUUGUUGAAAUAACAAAAAUAACAUAAGAAAUUAAAAAAAUUUCAUGUUUACAAUUUGUUGCAACUUUUUAAAACUACUCCAAAGCUAACUAAAUUAAAACUUAAAACCAAUAUGAUGAACUUAGAAUAAAUAUUUUCUCAAGAGUUCUCGUUGAUUCCUUUAGAAAAAACAAGAUGCUAAUGAAAACUGCCAGUGAAAUCUUGAGAUGCUUUUUAUACCCAAAAGUAUAACACAUUUACAUGACAGAUAAAAAUUGAUCUCAGCUUAGUCCCUUCACUGAAAAUACCAACAUUGAACACAACAAUAUAUUUGGAUUUGAAGUAACAGAUUUAUUUAUAGAAAAUCAUACCUCCAUCUGCUGAAAUUUUGUGUCCCAGACAACCUUUCUUCCACAAAAUACAUAGAACAAGAAGGGCCAUAAACAAUGCUCCAGCAGCGACCCCAAGUACUACACUUGCAUUAUUCUUUUUACCAUUAACUUUUGGAGGUUUGAAGCCUGCAUAGAAAGAAGGAAAUAACUGCACAUUUAAAUUCUAGUGACCCAAGAAAACUGAUUAGAGUGAGGAGGUAACAAAUGAAACUGACUAGAUGAGAUCCAUAGGUAUAAAUCAAACUUUAUAAGCUCUCUCAUCAAAUGCAGGAUAAAGUGACCAUAUACAUGUCCUGGUCCAAAGGUUUUGGAUUUGGAGCUGUCCUUAGGUUGUGACACAAAUGAGAUAUCAACAAGCCUCUACACGUGCUUUGUGAAAAAGACAAAUGUGUGGACAAAUCAUAUUGGGUGAUGUAAAACAUCAAAGAAACUGUCUAAAUGGUCUUACUAUUAUUAUUUUAAAAAAUAUUUUUUUUUGGGUGAGGGGAGGGGAAACAGACUACCAUACUGAAAUUGUAUGCUACUGAAAUAGGAUGCAAGAGUUGGAGAAUAAACAAGUACUCAAUCCGGAGGACUGCCAUUUCAGACUCCUUCAGUAUUUUUGACAUACAAAGGUUCUUGAUUGCAAGUCACAGCUCGCCAACAGUGCAAUCCAUAGUAACUUGCCAUAUGACACUGUCAGGGGAAGCCAAAGGCAUGCCAGAGCUGAAAUUUGGUUCACUUUCUUGGUAUUGAUUCUCUGACUAGAUUAGAUCUAAACUGGGAUUAUGUUCUCUCCAGCUUGCAAUCAAACGUUUGAGUACAUAAUUUGUCUUAGGCAGUUGAGUGCCAUUUAGCUUUUGCCGUUCAUAAGUCUGUCCUAUCUCAAGAGUCACUGGAUCAUCAAAUAUAUUAC
rnacentral:lncRNA from 1 species